CUAAGAGAAUGGAAUUACAGGGAAAAGUUUUUUUAAAUUUAAUAAUUGAAGUUAUUUUAAUUUGUGAAGAAACAAUUAUAUAAAUUAAAGACAAGAAGACCCUAAGAAUUUAAGAAUUUUUAUUAAUAUAUUAUAUGUAUAUAUAUAUAAAUAAAAUUCUUAGUUGGGGCAACUAAAAAAUAUAUUUAACUUUUUUUUUAAAAAAAUGACCCAUUAUUAAUGAUAAUAUGAAAAAAAUACUCUAGGGAUAACAGCGUAAUAAUUUUUGAUAGAUCUUAUAGACAAAAUAGUUUGCGACCUCGAUGUUGGAUUAGGAUACUUUUUUAAUGAAGAUGUUAAAAAAAGAAGUUUGCUCAACUUUUAAAAUCCUACACA
rnacentral:rRNA from 1 species